rnacentral:rRNA from 1 species
CAGCAGUAGGGAUCUUCCGCAAUGGGCGAAAGCCUGACGGAGCAAUGCCGCGUGAGUGAUGAAGGUUUUCGGAUCGUAAAGCUCUGUUGCCAGGGAAGAACGCUUGGGAGAGUAACUGCUCUCAAGGUGACGGUACCUGAGAAGAAAGCCCCGGCUAACUACGUGCCAGCAGCCGCGGUAAUACGUAGGGGGCAAGCGUUGUCCGGAAUUAUUGGGCGUAAAGCGCGCGCAGGCGGUCAUUUAAGUCUGGUGUUUAAUCCCGGGGCUCAACCCCGGAUCGCACUGGAAACUGGGUGACUUGAGUGCAGAAGAGGAGAGUGGAAUUCCACGUGUAGCGGUGAAAUGCGUAGAUAUGUGGAGGAACACCAGUGGCGAAGGCGACUCUCUGGGCUGUAACUGACGCUGAGGCGCGAAAGCGUGGGGAGCAAACAGGAUUAGAUACCCUGGUAGUCCACGCCGUAAACGAUGAGUGCUAGGUGUUAGGGGUUUCGAUACCCUUGGUGCCGAAGUUAACACAUUAAGCACUCCGCCUGGGGAGUACGGUCGCAAGACUGAAACUCAAAGAAAUUGACGGGGCCCC